rnacentral:lncRNA from 1 species
AUGCAAUUAAGGUAUUAAAAUACACUACAAUAACAAAGUGGAUGGAGAAUGAUGCUGAAGCAGUUGCCAGGGAUGAAAAAUAUUAUUCUUCUGGAAGGCAGAGAUGCAUCUAUUGACUGCAUGUUAACACAGGAGCUUGUGAAGCCCUACAGCCAGUGACACUAAAAAUGACCUUCUACCACCCCAAGUAUUGGAGGACCUGGAGAAGCCCAGCCCUGCAUCAGGCAAGGGGCAGCUGCACACCACCUCAGUGGCCUUGAGGUUGGGACCUACCUGCUCCAUCCAGGGGGUCCUGUGUCCAUGUGAGCUGCAAGGCAAUUCCCAGCAGAGUGGAGGGGUGUCACGUUUGCAAGGAAACAGUCCUGAUCUUCCUUCUGUUAUACACAAAUAAGUGUUGGCUAUCAA